CCUACGGGAGGCUGCAGUGGGGAAUAUUGCACAAUGGGCGCAAGCCUGAUGCAGCCAUGCCGCGUGUGUGAAGAAGGCCUUCGGGUUGUAAAGCACUUUCAGCGGGGAGGAAGGCGUUAAGGUUAAUAACCUUGGCGAUUGACGUUACCCGCAGAAGAAGCACCGGCUAACUCCGUGCCAGCAGCCGCGGUAAUACGGAGGGUGCAAGCGUUAAUCGGAAUUACUGGGCGUAAAGCGCACGCAGGCGGUCUGUCAAGUCGGAUGUGAAAUCCCCGGGCUCAACCUGGGAACUGCAUUCGAAACUGGCAGGCUAGAGUCUUGUAGAGGGGGGUAGAAGUCCAGGUGUAGCGGUGAAAUGCGUAGAGAUCUGGAGGAAUACCGGUGGCGAAGGCGGCCCCCUGGACAAAGACUGACGCUCAGGUGCGAAAGCGUGGGGAGCAAACAGGAUUAGAUACCCGAGUAGUC
rnacentral:rRNA from 1 species